rnacentral:rRNA from 1 species
UAGGGAAUCUUCGGCAAUGGGGGGAACCCUGACCGAGCAACGCCGCGUGAGUGAAGAAGGUUUUCGGAUCGUAAAGCUCUUUUGUUAAGGAAGAACGAGUGUGAGAAUGGAAAGUUCAUGCUGUGACGGUACUUAACCAGAAAGGGACGGCUAACUACGUGCCAGCAGCCGCGGUAAUACGUAGGUCCCGAGCGUUGUCCGGAUUUAUUGGGCGUAAAGCGAGCGCAGGCGGUUAGAAAAGUCUGAAGUGAAAGGCAGUGGCUCAACCAUUGUAGGCUUUGGAAACUGUUUAACUUGAGUGCAGAAGGGGAGAGUGGAAUUCCAUGUGUAGCGGUGAAAUGCGUAGAUAUAUGGGGGAACACCGGUGGCGAAAGCGGCUCUCUGGUCUGUAACUGACGCUGAGGCUCGAAAGCGUGGGGAGCGAACAGG